rnacentral:rRNA from 1 species
ACGAACGCUGGCGGCAUGCCUAACACAUGCAAGUCGAACGAGACCUUCGGGUCUAGUGGCGCACGGGUGCGUAACGCGUGGGAACCUGCCCUUAGGUUCGGAAUAACUCCCCGAAAGGGGUGCUAAUUCCGGAUAAUGUCUUCGGACCAAAGAUUUAUCGCCUUUGGAUGGGCCCGCGUUGGAUUAGCUAGUUGGUAGGGUAAAAGCCUACCAAGGCGACGAUCCAUAGCUGGUCUGAGAGGAUGAUCAGCCACACUGGGACUGAGACACGGCCCAGACUCCUACGGGAGGCAGCAGUGGGGAAUAUUGGACAAUGGGCGAAAGCCUGAUCCAGCAAUGCCGCGUGAGUGAUGAAGGCCUUAGGGUUGUAAAGCUCUUUUACCCGGGAUGAUAAUGACAGUACCGGGAGAAUAAGCUCCGGCUAACUCCGUG